UUAAUUCUAAUAAUAUAUUUAAUCCAACAUAUCCAAAAGACUAUCAUUUCAACAUGUAGUCCAUGUAAAAAGUAUUUACAUUUUUCAUUCUUUUUUUUUUAAAUGUCUUUGAAAUCUGGGGUGUUUUUUACACUUGCAGCACAUCUCGAUUCAAAAUAGCCACUUUCAAGUGCUUAGUAACCGCAUGUAGCUAGUAACUACCUACUGAACAAUGCUGUUCUGCGUAAGUUGGCUGCUUUCCAAACUGAUCACUUUUUUUUUUUUAUUCAGAUAAUGACUGAUACUGAGUACUCAGGCUAGCCAGAGUGGUGCAAAGAUGAGUCAAAUUCAUUCUGAUGAGAGAUUUGUAAGUCACUAGCAAUUAUACAGCGUGGUAGGUGCCAUGAUAGAGAUGCAUAGAAGAAACCCAGACUUGGCGGCUGAAGGGCACAGGGUGGAAGGCAGUAGAGAGACAAGGAAGGUUGCACAGAAAUAACAUUUGAUGUAGGAACUAAGUGCACGAAGGGAAGCCGGCUGUGCGGUGACCGGAGUUGCAGGUUACCAAUCUUGCUGAGGGGGGCUCCACCGGACGCCGGCCUACGGGUCGUAGGCGUGUGUGGGGUGAAGGGGGAAGAGGACGGGAGAGGAUUGGCUGGGAGGAACCCGGAGCUCCAUCUGGUGGGUGGAUGGAAACCGCAGGGGGGCGCUACUUGCACUUCGCGCUCAAGCGACCGGAUCUUCAAACCGUGGGAGUGGUGCGGCGGCUAGAGUCCCUGGACUCCUCAACCUAGGGAGCUACUCGCGAGAUGCCUACGACUUGUAACGGGCUGCCUGGUAAAAUGAAUCUAUGGAAACGGUUGUCAGGGCCGGCUAACAGCGGCUCCCGGAAGCCCUUUGAUGCUUUGUUAACAGUGAAGCUACUGGACCAAUGAGGUGCUUCUUCCGGUUUUGUCCGCGCUCGCCUAAUUCUUCUUUAUCAAGGUUGCCUUUGACCCCGGAAAAGAGAUCUUCCGGGUUCCUCUCUCCCCAAGAUGGCUGCUGAGGACGAGUUACAGCUGCCGCGGCUCCCCGAGCUGUUCGAAACUGGUAAACAGUUACUGGACGAAGUAGAAGUAGCGACUGAACCCGCCGGUUCCCCGAUAGUCCAGGAGAAGGUGUUCAAGGGCUUGGACCUCCUUGAGAAGGCUGCCGAAAUGUUAUCGCAGCUCGACUUGUUCAGCCGAAAUGAAGAUUUGGAAGAGAUUGCUUCCACCGACCUGAAGUACCUUUUGGUGCCAGCGUUUCAAGGAGCCCUCACCAUGAAACAAGUCAACCCCAGCAAGCGUCUAGAUCAUUUGCAGCGGGCUCGAGAACACUUUAUAAACUACUUAACUCAGUGCCAUUGCUAUCAUGUGGCAGAGUUUGAGCUGCCCAAAACCGUGAACAACUCUGCUGAAAAUCACACUGCCAAUUCCUCCAUGGCUUAUCCUAGCCUCGUUGCUAUGGCAUCUCAAAGACAGGCUAAAAUACAGAGAUACAAGCAGAAGAAGGAGUUGGAGCAUAGGUUGUCUGCAAUGAAAUCUGCUGUGGAAAGUGGUCAAGCAGAUGAUGAGCGUGUUCGUGAAUACUAUCUUCUUCACCUUCAGAGGUGGAUUGAUAUCAGCUUAGAAGAGAUUGAGAGCAUUGACCAGGAAAUAAAGAUCCUGAGAGAAAGAGACUCUUCAAGAGAGGCAUCAACUUCUAACUCAUCUCGCCAGGAGAGGCCUCCAGUGAAACCCUUCAUUCUCACUCGGAACACGGCCCAAGCCAAAGUAUUUGGAGCUGGUUAUCCAAGUCUGGCAACUAUGACGGUGAGUGACUGGUAUGAGCAACAUCGGAAAUAUGGAGCAUUACCGGAUCAGGGAAUAGCCAAGGCAGCACCAGGUCAUCAGAAUGAAGGAAAGUCUGAGAAAGAGUUACAUCCUAGAGGAGACUAAAGAAACAGACAACAAAAUGUACUGUGGUGACCUGGAUAGGAUCCUGGAACGGAAAAGGGACAUUAGAGAAAUUCAGAAAAGCAGCUCAGCAACAGGAAGAACAAGAAGAAAAGGAGGAAGAG